rnacentral:rRNA from 1 species
AUUGAACGCUGGCGGCAUGCCUUACACAUGCAAGUCGAACGGCAGCACGGGAGCAAUCCUGGUGGCGAGUGGCGAACGGGUGAGUAAUAUAUCGGUACGUGCCCAGUCGUGGGGGAUAAAGCAGAGAAAGCUGUGCUAAUACCGCAUACGAUCUACGGAUGAAAGCGGGGGAUCGCAAGACAUCGCGCGAUUGGAGCGGCCGAUAUCAGAUUAGCUAGUUGGUGGGGUAAAGGCCCACCAAGGCGACGAUCAGGAGCUGGUCUGAGAGCACGACCAGCCACACUGAAAAUGAGACGCGUUCCAGACUCCUACGGGAGGCAGCAGUGGGGAAUUUUGGACAAUGGGCGCAAGCCUGAUCCAGCAAUGCCGCGUGCAGGAUGAAGGCCUUCGGGUUGUAAACUGCUUUUGUACGGAACGAAACGGCCCUUUCUAAUACAGGGGGCUAAUGACGGUACCGUAAGAAUAAGCACCGGCUAACUACGUGCCAGCCGCCGCCGUAA